UGGGGAAUAUUGCACAAUGGGCGAAAGCCUGAUGCAGCAACGCCGCGUGAGUGAUGAAGGCCUUCGGGUUGUAAAGCACUUUUGUCCGGAAAGAAAUCCUUGGCUCUAAUACAGUCGGGGGAUGACGGUACCGGAAGAAUAAGCACCGGCUAACUACGUGCCAGCAGCCGCGGUAAUACGUAGGGUGCAAGCGUUAAUCGGAAUUACUGGGCGUAAAGCGUGCGCAGGCGGUUUGCUAAGACCGAUGUGAAAUCCCCGGGCCCAACCUGGGAACUGCAUUGGUGACUGGCAGGCUAGAGUAUGGCAGAGGGGGGUAGAAUUCCACGUGUAGCAGUGAAAUGCGUAGAGAUGUGGAGGAAUACCGAUGGCGAAGGCAGCCCCCUGGGCCAAUACUGACGCUCAUGCACGAAAGCGUGGGGAGCAAAACAGGAUUAGAUACCCUGGUAGUCUACGCCCUAAACGAUGUCAACUAGUUGUUGGGGGAUUCAUUUCCUUAGUAACGUAGCUAACGCGUGAAGUUGACCGCCUGGGGAGUACGGUCGCAAGAUUAAAACUCAAAUGAAUUGACGGGGUCAUAGCUG
rnacentral:rRNA from 1 species